CCAGACUCCUACGGGAGGCAGCAGUGGGGAAUAUUGCACAAUGGGCGCAAGCCUGAUGCAGCCAUGCCGCGUGUAUGAAGAAGGCCUUCGGGUUGUAAAGUACUUUCAGCGGGGAGGAAGGGAGUAAAGUUAAUACCUUUGCUCAUUGACGUUACCCGCAGAAGAAGCACCGGCUAACUCCGUGCCAGCAGCCGCGGUAAUACGGAGGGUGCAAGCGUUAAUCGGAAUUACUGGGCGUAAAGCGCACGCAGGCGGUUUGUUAAGUCAGAUGUGAAAUCCCCGGGCUCAACCUGGGAACUGCAUCUGAUACUGGCAAGCUUGAGUCUCGUAGAGGGGGGUAGAAUUCCAGGUGUAGCGGUGAAAUGCGUAGAGAUCUGGAGGAAUACCGGUGGCGAAGGCGGCCCCCUGGACGAAGACUGACGCUCAGGUGCGAAAGCGUGGGGAGCAAACAGGAUUAGAUACCCGAGUA
rnacentral:rRNA from 1 species